ACUGGAGUCACAGACAGUUGUGAGCUGCCAUGUGGGUGCUGGGGAUUGAACUUGGGUCCUCUGGAAGAGCAAUCAGUGCUCUUAACCACUAAGCCAUCUCUCCAGCCCCUCACCUUGGUUCUUAUGGGGCAUGCGCCAAGCCCUGACUUCUCCACUGGCGCUCUGUGACCUUCGGCAGCCCUCUGUGUCUCCAUUUUCUUAUUUGUAAAAUGACAUCACUAACAAUGCCUCACAGGGUUGCAGCACAUGCGUUAAUGAGUCUAAAACUCUCGGAACUUUGUCUGGCUCUAACAAGUGCUCCUGAACGGUAAGCCAUCCCUCCUCAGCCCAGCACCCAUGGAAGUGCUCCGCUCUGGCUCAAGUGUGCAAGGCUUCUUUGUGGCAAGUAGCCGGGUAAAUGGAGACCGCUUUUUUUGAUUGGUUUUCUUUCUAGAAGAGUUGCCUCCUCUUGGGUCUGGUCAUUUUGGCAUAUGUGAAGAAGGAGGAGGACAAAGAGCCCUUAGAGAGAGCCACUGGGACUUGGCAUGUGAUACACACAUGUAAUUGCAACACUCAAAGUCUGAGGCGAGAGAAGCAAGAGUUGAAAGUCAGUUGCACAGUGAAGCCCUGUCUCGAUAAACAACAAACAAACAAACAAACAAACAAACAGACAGGCUGGGACUACAGCUCAGCAGUAGAUUACUGAGUUACUUUGCACAAGGCCCUGGGUUCAAUCCAAAGUACCACAAGAAAACCGACCAACCAAUAAUCAAUCAAACAAAAAAAAAACAUCUACGAGGAGCCCUCCCUCGAGUCUUCGGGGAUCAUGGUUUAUGUGCCUAUUAUGGGGUGUGGGUACUAUGGGAAAGAGAAGAUGGGGGAUUAACAACAAAGGUAACCUAGACCAGGGCCUGACCAGGGAAAUCCCAGUGACAACUCUCCUCCUGAAUUCAGUCAGCUUUAGUUUUUUUUUUUUUUUUUUUUUUUUUUGGCUUGGUCUGAGUCCAGGGUGUGGGAGCAGCAAUGGUACCAGCGAGGUGGUGUCACCCCAAGAUCAGAAAGGGGUGCUCCAGAGUCCAGCGCUGCCGCCUGCAGAGUUCUAAAAGUCCUAGUGCAUCACACGUACAAUGAAGAUGUAGGAUGGUGCCAUCUUCCCAGGGUCCAUGCUGUGACCACCCCAUGUCAGCUGCUGUUAACACAAGCCUGCCAAGGUUCCAGGGACAGUCCCCCAAAGAUGUCUAUGUCCUCGUCUCUGGAGCCUGUGAAUAUGUUUGGGACGUGGUAAGUGUGAUCAAACUUGAGAUCUGGAGCUAGGGAGGUUAUCUGGAUAUCUUAGGGGAGCUCAUGGAACAGCCUGAGUGAAAGAAGGAGGCAGGAGACCCGUCAGCCAUUGUCCGUUUGGAAGGAGGGAAGGAGAAUGAGGGAAAAAAUGCCGGCAGCUUGUAGAUGAAAAAGGCUACCGGAUGGAGGUCCUCCCGGAAGAGCCUUCACAAAGGACCCCACCCUGGCAGCUCUUGGGUCUGACCUUCGAAAUUCUGAGAUUAUAGCUCUGUGCUGUUCUGAGACACUGUAUUUGUGGUCAUUUGUCAUACCGGGGACAGGGAAUGAGUCCAGCCACUGAGUCCCCACAGAGCAGUCUCCUUGAAGGACGGACCAACUGAAGGAGACUCCACAGCAUUUACUGAGCACUUGUGGCAUUUACACCGUCUAUCAUCUCCUCUGUAUAGCUCCACAACCGAGGCCAUGGAACCGAAUGUCUGUGCUUGGGCACUACCCAGGGAUGGAACCUUCCAGGACAGAGCUCGGAGAGACUGGGCUCUCAUUAGGCUUUUCUGUAGGGAUCCUGAAGGAUGGAAGUGUGGGUUUGGAUGAGGAGCAGGAGGACAGAGAGAAAGACAUCAUUGCAAUGGGACCGAGAGAUCAGUUACUCAUUCACCUCUAUCUUCCACACCCCAGGGAGGGGCGCCUGGAUAGUGAUGGAGACAAGGAAAUACUUUUCGUGAUAAAUGGAGUAGCAUACAAUACACCACAAGAAAGCAGGGCCGAGUCACAGUGGGAGAGGUAGGGCCUCUUGAUGGGUGCAUGUCGGGUGGCUUCCUGGAAGAAGCAUCCCUCCAGCUGCUGCAAACAGGAUAAAGUGAAGUGCUCUCUACCGCUCUCAGCCCUGUGAAGUACAGGUGCCGACUGGAAUAGUGAUUUCUGUUGCUAUUCUCUAUCGAUUUCUGUUGUUAUUCUCUAUCUGCUUCUCUUUUAAUUUGUCUAAUUAUAGUGAGGAGGAAGUCUCUGAUGGGCACAGGCGUACCUUGCAUGCCGCUAGAGUUCUGUUAUAAUGUAAGACCAGCUCAGGCUGGUCUGCAGGUAGCAGGCGCAAGGCUUAAGCGCUCUGCUUGGCUUGUCCUUAUUUUCAUUUUUUGUCUAACUACUUUCCUUUUGUGUUAGGAUACUGGUUUUCCUUUUCUGGGUCCGGAAUACAAUUUCUUUGUAUAGCAAGGACCUCUCUCGAUUCCUGCCCGCAGUGGUUAGUUGACAGGGAUGAGCUCCCUUCACCUUGGGACAGAGCUCAGCUCAGUGGUGGGUUGGUCCAUGUGAAGGAAGGAAGGAAGGAAGGAAGGAAGGAAGGAAGGAAGGAAGGAAGGAAGGAAGGAAGGAAGGAAGGGGAGAAUGAAGGAAUGAAAGGAAGGGUAAAUUGGAACUCAACAAAUAAUCCUGUGCCCCUCCCUUCUCCUUCCUCUCCCUGGGCCAGGGCCCACCCUGCGUUCCUCUCCAUUGGCCAUGCCACUGGUGGUCCCUGGUCUGACAAAUAGGAGGGUCAGGACAUGUCCCAGCAGCCUGGUCAGGGCUGGACUUCUGAGACCUGCUCCCUCCGGAAGCCUAGGCCGGGAGGACCUCUCUGAUCUGCUGACCCUCACACAGCGUGGCAGGUCUCAUCAAAGCGGAUCAGGAGAAUGACUACUAUCUCCCAGGCCUUCUCCUCUCCAUCUCCGCCCCUAGGCCUUUAUUCAGGAGCUUGCGAUUUGAAUUUUCCGCUGCUGCCAGAGGAGUCCGGGAGCGUCAUUGCUGAAGGCACUAGGUGACGACAGUGGAGAUCCUGUCCCCUAGCUCUGGCUGCUGCCAGGCAGAAGAGCCUCAGUGCCAAGCUGGCUUUCUGCGGUGCUCCCUGGAGAAGGGAAAGAGUGUAUGUAGGUGGGGAUGGGCUCUGGGUCAGCCCGACACAGGUUCUCAAACCGGGGCUCCCCAAGGCUGUCUCCGGGCAGCUGAGUUUGGAAUGACCUGCCAUGUCCACCGUGUUACCUGAAUCACCGGAUACUGAGUGGGUUUCCCCUGCUUCCAGGCCAGCCUUAGGGCUGGAAGGACAAGGAAGCCACUAAAGAAGAGCUGCUGUGGGAGCGUCUACCCAUCUCAACCUCAGGUUAGGAUCGCCAGCCUCACUUCCCUUCUGCUCUCUUGUUUUUUGUCUUUGGACAUUUCUUCUUGAUCUUAUGUCUCCCCCUGCUGUAGCCCAUUCCUAUGGUGAGGAGUUGGCCCAUUCUGGCUCCUGAGAGCAGAACACUGAAUUGUGCAAACCAGUUGUUAAAAGAGGCUAUCACCAGGAGAGGAGGGAGAGGAAACUGCAGUCCAGAUGUCGGGAUGUCAAAUAAAUGAAUAAAUUUAAUUGAUAAAAACAA